UCAUGUUCAAACACUGGUUCCUAUAUGAUCACUGAAGUUAAGCAAUGUUGAGACUGGUCAGUACCUAGAUGGGUGACCACUUGGAAAUACCAGGUACUGUAAG